AUUGAACGCUAGCGGGAUGCCUUACACAUGCAAGUCGAACGGAGUGGCGAACGGGUGCGUAAUGUAUCGGAACGUGCACAGUAGCGGGGGAUAACUACGAGAACGCGUAGCUAAUACCGCAUACUCUUGGCGCGGCCGUUAUCGGAUUGGGAAGUUGGUGGGGGAACGGUUCACCGAGGCGACGAUCCGUAGCUGGUUUGAGAGGACGACCAGCCACACUGGGAUGGAGACACGGCCCAGACUCCUACGGGAGGCAGCAGUGGGGAAUUUUGGACAAUGGGGGAAACCCUGAUCCAGCCAUCCCGCGUGUGCGAUGAAGGCCUUCGGGUUGUAAAGCACUUUUGGCAGGAAAGCGGUACCUGCAGAAUAAGCACCGGCUAACUACGUGCCAGCAGCCGCGGUAAUUC
rnacentral:rRNA from 1 species